ensembl:lncRNA
AAGCGCGUUUGGAAGACAUGAGAGGAUGCAGUUCCUGGGCUCCUGACAUCCCACCAAGGGCGUCCAGCUGGGGGGUCCCCGCUCCUUCCGCUGUCUCUGCCUUCUAGCGACCACAGUGCCUUCAGUCUGAAGCUCCACCGCAGGGACCGCUCACGUCACUCCCUCAGCCUGACCAGACAGCCUGCUUCAGGCCCCCACUGCUGUUACUGUCUCAGAUCUACAUUUGUAUUUGUAUUUGUAUUUGUAUUUGUAUUUGUAUUUGUAUUUGUAUGAGGCCUUAUCUUCCCAACUGGAAUGUAAACCCUUUGCAAACUCUGUGCUCCCCCUCCCUCCUCCCCGCACUGCCCAGCACAGACGGAACCAGUAAAGAGGCUGAAUUACAGCAUGAUGUAACAAACAGAGGGGAGGAGCGAGGAUGGGGCGGAGGAGGCUCUGCCUCUGGGGCAUGCCCACGCCGCGUGCUCCUGGUUCCCUCCUUGCCCUCCACGCAGUGCGUGGGGCUGCAGUGGGUCCUGGAGGAGGAGGGAGGUGGCUCUGGAGGCCGCGUGCUCCCGGCGCCCCUCACGGAGCAGAGCGAGGCAGAGCACGCUUCCUUCUGCGUGUUCCGCACAGUCUUGAGGACCACUAGGGGACGUUGACGCCGUGACUCGAGCAGUGAUCCUCCUGGUAGAGACAGAAAAAGGUGUCUAUCUAACUGUUUGCCUGCUAAUCGGACCCGUGAGCCAGGUGUCACUCAGACUUCGUCACCUCAGCACUCUGCCUCAUCACGGCUGACUCUGCACCGUGGGAUCCACGGUUGGAAGGACCACUGGGCGUCAUCUGCAGGACACAGAGCGGGGACGGCUGCAGGCAGCGCGAGUGUGGACGAGGGUAGAAUGCUAAGAAAAAUGGCAAGAAAUUGCACAUUGGAGGCAACGAUAAUGCCUUAUAAAGAAGACUUUUUUUAAAUGCUUUUUUUAAGGGGAGCACUAACGCGGCUUUGGAUACCACCCCCACCCUUGCCGUAAGUACGUGAACUGUGGCCAAAGGAAUAAAUGGAAUGAGAGCUGAGUGCAGAGUGAGAAGGCCGGAGACACAUGACAACUCAGAGGGAAGGUCCCAUGGUGUCAUUUCUGCACAUCUUCCACAGGCCAGUGAGAGCCAGACAGUGACAAAUGUCAACGUGCGGCCAAGAGUUAUGAAAACACGUCUGCUGCACACAGCAGGUGUGAGUCUGUGUGACAGGAGUUUACUUUCCAUUCACCUAGGCAUCAAUCCUGGCCGUGGUACCAGGCGGCCGCAUCCAAGCCCUGGUGCUACUGCCCUUGGAUGGGAGCCUUUCUCCAACCUGUCUCAAAUGCUGGUCAAGGACCCCAGGGUGGUACCAGUACAUGUAGACACACACACCACAAGGGAGGCACGCACACCAACAGAAGACACACACACACAGGAGGCACACACACAAAUAGGGAGCCAAUCAGAGGUGGCCAAGACCUUUAUUGGUGAAAAUAAAUCGGUGUCUCUCUCUAGUCUUCAACUAAUUUAAACAAAAUGAUUGUUAGAAACUAGGAGAAUUUUGUGUGUGUGUGUGUGCGAAAGAUUGUGCCUGAGCCAACAUCUGUGCCAGUCUUCCUCUAUUUUGUUUGUGGGAUGCUGCCAAAACAUGGCUUGAUGUGCAUGUGUAGGUUGGCGCCCAGGAUCCGAACUUUUGAACCCCGGCCAUGAAGUGGAGCAAGCGAACUUAACCACUACACCACCGGGCCAGCCCCCAAGAGAAUUUUUAUGAACCAUCUUUCUUUUCAACUUCAUGUCUGACUCUACAAUUCCUUUUCAAUUUACUCUGAGGCAGGCACGUUCAGCACGAGCUCAUCUAAUAGUUACAUACAUAGAGAUCACCAUUGCUAACCACCCCUCUUGAAAUUUCCACACAGGCACACGCACAUGCACACGUGCACGCACGUGUUUCCUAACAGAUCAUACCGUGCAACAGGAUGAUAACUGCAUGCGUGAAGAUGAAACAGAUUGAUAACGCGAAGAGUUUAGACGUGUGCCCAGGGCAUGGUACCUGGCUUGAGCAGUGUCCUCUCCUGCCACAAGGAGCUUCUAGCAUGAGAUCGGAGAUGGCCUCUCAGAGAGAAGAGCGUGUGCAAAGGUGCAGAGACGAAGAAAGGGCAGCUUGUCUUCAGACGAUGUAGUCAGUGCAGUCAGUGCAGAAGAUGCAGCAGAAUAUGGGUGUGGGGGGCAGGACAGGACACGGCGUGCACGUGGGGAAGCCGCAUAGUGUUUGCUAAGCUGGACACUGGUGGGAGACAUCUUCCCGAGGGAGAGAUGACCACCGCAUCCGAUACUACCACUGACCUGGACUGAAUGUUUGCGAUCCCAUUAAUGCAAAGAAUCAGUGGGAAUGAAUCAAUCUGUGGUGUCGAUCUGCUGUCCUCACAGAAAGUUCACCAGCGGUGCUCCCUCACUCACGUUUUAUGAAGAGACCUGCUCCCCCUCGGAGGUCCCGACCACAACCAGGAGGCAGGCCAGAGCCACUGACCGAAGGAAAUCUCUUAGGUAAAAAGAGAAAAAGGAUAAACGAUGAACAAUUUUGCAGUUAAGAAUGUCAGAAACAUGGGGCUGGCCCCGUGGCCUAGUGGUUAAGUUCAUGCGCUCUGCUUUGGCGGCCCAGGGUUUCGCCAGUUCAGAUCCUGAGUGCGGACGGACAUGGCACCGCUCAUCAGGCCAUGUUGAGGCAGCGUCCCACAUGCCACAACUAGAAGGACCUACAACUGAAAAUAUACAACUAUGUACUGGGGGUGUUGGGGGAGAAAAAGCAAUUUAAAAAACAAAGAGAGAGAGAUUGGCAAGUUAUUAGCUCAGGUGCCAAUCUUUAAAAAAAAAAACAAAAAAACUUGAAUUGGUGGUUUAAAAAAAAGAAUGUCAGAAAAAAUGUUGAGCUAUUUUUUGUCAUUGGGAAAUGAGUUAACAAGCCAGUCCCUAAAAAUUCAGAUUUUUAUGGAAGAUUUUUGUGGGGCAAAAACUAUUGGGGGAUGGAGAGAAACAGGAAGUGACUGGUUAAGACAUAGUUCCUUUUUGGGAGUGAUGGAAAUGUUCUAAAAUUGAGUGUGCGAUAGUUGCAAAAUUCUGUGAAUAAACUAAACACCAUUGGACUGUGCACUUUAAAUGGGUGAACUGCAUGGUAUGUGAAUUAUAUCUCAAUAAAGACGUUACCAAAAAAAGGAAGAAGAAUGUCAGGUAUUUCACGUGGCAACUCUACCUGAGACUGGACUGUGUGUGUAAGAGGUUAAGUCGGGCGGCGACCUCCCAGUCUCAUUGGCUGUAAGUGUCCCACUUAAGAUAAACAAUUCCUCUCCAUUCAACUAAGAAAUUCUAGCAAAGGCAUUCAUGAAUAGGACCAUCGUGGGCAGUCCAAGAAGGGGGCACAUGAGCCAGGAAGCGCCGGUUAGGGUCCUCCCCAAGAUUUUUCAAAUGGAAGGCCAAGGAGAAGACGGUUUCUUUCUGGAGUGACAAGCUGGAAGCACAGGGCUCUGGAGGUGCCUCCAGCCACGUUACCCAGAGCAGGAAGAAACUCCACUUGCAUUUCCAGUCUUGCUGAGGCUGUGCUCCACCCCGCCUGUCCGCACUCCACAAAUCAGUACACAGUGUCUCCACUUUGUUUUAAACUUACGUUAGUUUGAAUUGAGUAUGUGGCACUUGCAACAAAAAGUCCUAACAAAUGAAGUAUUAUGAUGUUAUAAAACUUAUUUCUGAGCCCAUAUAGCACUAGAAUUCAUAGUGUCUCAUUGUCUUAAUUUCUGACUUCAAAACUUUCAAUAUAUAAAAUUUUCAUUUAACUUGGAAACAACUUUAUGCAUUUAUUAUUGUGAUAAUGUUUUAUAAUAUUAUUUUAAUUGAGAGCUGUAAAUAGGUAUUCAAAAAACACAAUUAAAACACUAAGACAUAAUAAAUAGGAUUGAUAGUAAGAUGGAAGCAGCUGAAGAAAGAAUUAAUGAGUUGAAAUAUCAGAUUGAGGAGUUUUCCCAGAAGACAAUAGGAAAGGAUAGAGAGAUAGAAAAUAUCAAAGAAAGGCUACGGGAAAUGACAAUAGAAAUGCCAGUACAUAUCUGGAUAAUAGGAAUCUCAGGAGGAAUGAUCAACAAAGCCAGAGAGGAGCAAAUAUUUGAGAAAAUAAUGGAGGUGUAUUUCCAGAAAGAAAGAAAAGGCUCACAGAAUCAAACAAAAGGGGGAGGCAAUAAGGAAAAAUCCACGUCUAGACAUGUAGUGAAAUUUAAGACUACCAAAUACAAAGAGAAUGUUCUAAAAGCUUCCGUAAGUAAAGAGCAGGCCACCUACAAGUGAACAGGGAAUUUCUCAACAGCAACACUGAAUGCAAGAGAACAAUGGAGCAAUAUUUUUAAAUAAUUGAAGGAAAACAGAUUUGAACCUAGAAUAUUAUUUCUAGAAAAGCUGGCAUUUGUUUACUCUUUUUUAUUGCUGUAAUAUUGGUUUAUAACAUAUAAAUUUCAGGUGUACAUUGUAAUAUAUUUCAAAUUCUGUGUAGAUUACAUCAUAUUCACCACCCAAAGACUAAUUACAAUCCAUCACCACACGCAAGUGCCUAAUCAUGCCUUUCUCCCUCCUCCUUCCCUCCCCCCUUCCCCUCUGGUAACCACCAAUCCAAUCUCUGUUGCUAUGUGUUUGUAUAUUGCUGUUUUUGUCUUCUACUUAUGAGUAAGAUCAUACGGUAUUUGACUUUCUCCCUCUGACUUAUUUCACUUAGCAUAAAACCCUCAAGGUCCAUCCAUGUUGUCGCAAAUGGCCAGAUUUCAUCAUGUCUUAUAGCUGAGUAGUAUUCCAUUGUGUGUAUAUUCCACACCUUCUUUAUCCAUUCAUCCCUUGAUGCACACCUAGGUUGCUUCCAAGUCUUGGCUAUUGUGUAUAAUGCUGCAAUGAACAUAGGGGAGCAUGUAUCUUUACACAUUCAUGUUUUCAAGUUCUUUGGAUAAAUACCCAGCAGUGGAAUAGCUGGAGCAUGUGGUAAACAAAUUCUUAAUUUUCUGAGGAAACUCCAUACUGUCUUCCAUAGUGGCUGCAUCAGUUUGCACUGCCACCAGCAGUGUUGAGGGUUUCCUUCUCUCCACAUCCUCUCCAACACUUAUUGCUUCCUGUCUCAUAAAUUAUAGUCAUUCUGACUGGAGUGAGGUGAUAUCUCAUUGUAGUUUUGAUUUGCAUUUCCCUGAUAGUUAAUGGUGUUGAACAUCUUUUCAUGUGCCUCUUAGCCCUCUGUGUAUCUUCUUUGGAGAAAUGUCUGUUCAGAUCUAUUGCCCAUGUUUUAAUUGGGUUGUUGGUUUUUUUGUUGUUCAGAUGUAUGAGUUCUUUGUAUAUUUUGGAUAUUAACCCCUUACCUGAUAUAUGGUUUGCAAAUAUUUUUUCCCAAUUGUUAGGUUUUCUUUUCAUUUUGCUAGUGGUUUCCUUUGCUGUGCAGAAGCUUUUUAGUUUGAUGUAGUCCCAUUUGUUUAUUUUUCCUAUUGUUUCCCCUGCCCAGUCAGACAUGGUAUUUGAAAAAAUGCUGCUAAGACUGAUGUCAAAGAGCGUACUGACUACGUUUUCUUCUAGAAGUUUAAUGGUUUCAGAUCUUACAUACAACUCUUUAAUCCAUUUUGAGUUGAUUUUUGUGUAUGGUUUAAGAUAAUGGUCUACUCUCAUUCUUUUGCAUGUUGCUGUCCAGUUUUCCCAACUCCAUUUAUUGAAGACUCUCCUUUCUCCAUUUUAUGUUCUUGGCUCCUUUGUAGAAAAUUAGUUGUCUCCAGAUACAUGGAUUUAUUUCUGGGCUUUCAAUUCUGUUCCAUUGAUCUGUGUGUGUGUGUUUGUGCCAGUACCAUGCUGUUUUGAUUACCAUAGUUUUGUAGUAUAUUUUGAAAUCAGGGAGUGUGAUACCCCCAGCUUUGUUCUUUUUUCUCAGGACUCCUCUGGCUUUUUGGGGUCUUUUGUUGUUCCACAUAAAUUUUAGGAUACUUUGUUCUAUUUCUGUGAAAAAUAUUGUUGGAACUAUGAUAGGGAUUGCAUAGAAGCUAUAGAUUGCUUUAGGAAUAUGGCCAUUUUACUGCGUUAAUUCUCCUAAUCCAAGAGCACAGACUAUCUUUCCAUUUCUUUGAGUCUUCUUCAAUUUCUUUUCUUUUUUUUUAAAGAUUGACACCCGAGCUAACAACUGCUGCCAAUCUCCUUUUUUUUUCUUUCUGCUUUUUCUCCCCAAAUCCCCCCAGUACAUAGUUGUAUAUUUUAGUUAUGGGUCCUUCUAGUUGUGUUCAAUUUCUUUCAACAAUGUUUUACAGUUUUCAGUGCACAGAUCUUUCACUUCUUUGGUUAAGUUUACUCCUAUACACUAACAACGAAGUAGCAGAAAGAGAAAUUAAGAAUACAAUCUCAUUGACAACUGCAACAAAAAGAAUAAAAUACCUAGGAAAAGCUGCCAUUCAAAUUUGAAGACAUAAUAAAAGCAAUCCCCCACAGAGGGGAUUUGCCAUAUAGAUGUAUUGCCUUACAAAGACUGACUUUUUGUGAGAAAACACUUUUGGAGAAAGUACUUAAAAGAAACAGAUCACUAGAGAUUCCUGUAAAAGACAGAAAAUUAAGGGAACCAAAUAUUUUGGUAACAUUAUUAUUUGAGAGAACUCACAAUGUAAAUUCUGGGCAGUGUCAACAUCAAAGGCAUGAAAGAAGGAUAUUAAAGAGAUACAGAAGUGUCGUAACAGACUUGUCUUGUUAGGAGAAAAGUAUAGAUACUGGUAAGUUUAAGAAGUCAGUAGGGAUAAAUACAUACGAGAGUUUGUCUUCAGGUAAAGGCAUCAACUGCACAGAUGAAGAUGUGCGACUUUUAACCCAGCAGAAGAAUAUGGGGCCCAUACGACAGAAAGUAGGAACAAAAAUUAAAAGGAAGAAAUAAGAAGUUCAGCAAAUUAAAAAUAUAAUAAGACAUCAGAAGUAAGUUUUUUAAUAUGAGUAAUUAUGAUAAAUGCGAAUAGGUUAAAUUCACCAACUAAAAGACAGAUAUGCUGAACCUCAGCUUAAAAACAAGAAUGUAGGGCAUCCCACAUGCCACAACUAGAAGGAUCCACAACUCGAAGAUACAACUAUGUACUGGGGGGCUUUGGGGAGAAGAAAAAGAAAGAGGAACAUUGGCAAAAGAUGUCAGCUCAGGUGCCAAUCUUUAAAAAAAAAAAAAAAAAACAAGAAUAUAAAAGAAACACAUUGAGAAAAAAAAGUCAAAGAAACGUUGAAAAUAAAAGGAUUAAAAAUUUAUACUAAGAAAAUAUGACCCUAAAGAAAGUUGAUAUAGUAAUCUAAAUUUCAGAAAUUCAAAAUAGAAUAUAAGACCAAAAAUGCCAUAAAGGACAAAGCAUGACAUAACCUGCUGGUCAAAGUCCCGAGAGACCCAGAAGCUCUCUCCUUUGUAAACGUCAGUGCAGCCUCAAGCCUCACCGAGCCCCAGCGACAGCCCUGCAGCCACCAGUGGGAGACGUCAGGACAACUUUUUCAAAAGUGAACGGAGAAGAAGCUAAAAUCUAAGCAUAGCUGUCAAAGAUCCAAACAAUAUCCUUAAUAAGCCUGAGCUAUUAGAUGUAAAAAGAACUCUAGACCAAACCAAGGGAAAGUCCACAAUACAUUUGCAAAAUAGGCCAUGCAUUAGGCCAAAAAUGGAUCGACAUCAUUCAGAUUAUGUUCUCCAACAAUACAGCGAUAAAAAUAGAAAUUACUGACACAAUGAUGGUUUUUAAAAAGUCUGUAUGCUUGGAACCCAAAAAACAUACUACUAAAUAAUGCUUUAAUUAAAAAGAAAAUGAAGUAAUGUUUAAACCUGUGUGAUAAUGAAGUCACUACACAACAAAAAAAUGUGGGACAUAAUAAAGACAGGAUUUAGGAGGGAAAUGUAUAGAAUUUCUAGUCAUGAAUACAUUUAUGAGGAAAGACAAUUACACUUAAAAGCCAGUUGGUCAACUGAAAAAGUUGAAAAAGAACAGCAAAAAUAAAGAAAAUAAUGAAAAUAAAGACAUGACUCAAGUUAAUAGAGAACAAAAAUGGUGGAGGAGAUUAACCCCAAAAACAGAAGCUACUUGUUGGAAUAAAUUAACAAGAGAGACUUCUGGCAAGAUUGAAUUGGAAGGGAGGGCACAAAUGAGAUUCAGGCGGAGCAAGGAGACUAUUUAAGGCACAACUUCUUAAAAAGACUGCUCUGAACUAUUUCUGCUAAUAAAUUUGAAAAGUUAUAUAAAAUGGAUGACUAUUAAAGAAAAACGCCAAAUUUCAAAAUUUACACAGGGAGAGAGAUGGAAAAUGAAGAGACCAAUAGUUAUUAUUAAACACACUGAAAUGAUCACUAAAGAUUUCCUUUCCAAAACGUCCCGGGCACAGAUGGCUUUACCAGGGAGUGCCUUCAAAUGUUUUUUUACACAGCUUUUACGAGAUAUAAGUUACAUAUAAAGUUCAUCCAUUUAAAGUGUACCAUUCAAUGGCUUUAGUAUAUUUACAGAGUUAUGCAACAAUUAACCUAAUCUAAUUUUAGAACCUUUUCACCACCCCCGAGGGAACCAUUAGCAGUUACUUCUCCUUUCCCUUCCCAAAAUGAUCAUCCCUCCUCCAGCCCAAGGCAACCGAUAAUCUACCUUUUGUCGCUAUAGAUUUGCCCAUUCUGGACAUUUCAUAUAAAUGGUAUUGUACGAUGUAUGAUCUUUUGUGACUGGUUUCUUUCACUUGGCAUAAUGUUUUUCAGGGUUUCUCUACAUUGUAGUGUGUAUCAGAAAUUAAUUCCUUUUUAUUGCUGAUUAAUGUUUCAUCGUAUCAAUAUACCGCAUUUUGUUUAUCCAUUCAUUAGUUGAUGGAAAUUUAGGUUGUUCUGAUUUCUGUAGCUUUGCAGUAAGCUUUAUAACCAGGAAAUUUGAGUCUUCCAACUUUGUUCUUUUUUAAGAUUGUUUUGGCUUUUCUGAGUCCAUUCCAUUUCCAUAUGAAUUUUAAGGUCAGCUUGCCAAUUUUUACAAAAAGUCAGAUAAAAUUUGAUAGUGAUUGCAUUAGAUCUGUAGAUAAAUUUCAGGAGUAUUUUUAUUCUAACGUCGAGUCUUCCCAUCCAUGGACAUAAGUUGUCUUUCCAUUUAUUUAGGUCUUCAAUUUUUUUCAGCAAUGGUUUGUAGUUUUUAGUGUGCAAGUCUUGCACUUCUGUCAUUAAAUUAAUCCCUAAGUGUUUAAUUCUUGCUGAUGUUACUGUAAGUGAAAUUAUUUUUAAUUUCAUUUCAGAUUGCUUAUUGUUUACAUAUAAAAAUAUAAUUGAGUUUUUAUAUUGAUCUUGUAUCCUGCAACCUUGCUGAACUCUUUUAUUAGUUCUAAUAGCUUUUAAAUGGUGUGCCAAAUUUUAAAGAAACAGUUGUCUUUUUC